rnacentral:rRNA from 1 species
CCUACGGGAGGCUGCAGUGAGGAAUAUUGGUCAAUGGACGGGAGUCUGAACCAGCCAAGUAGCGUGAAGGAUGACUGCACUGUGGGUUGUAAACUUCUUUUAUAUGGGAAUAAAAUGGUCCACGUGUGGGAUUUUGUAUGUACCAUAUGAAUAAGGAUCGGCUAACUCCGUGCCAGCAGCCGCGGUAAUACGGAGGAUCCGAGCGUUAUCCGGAUUUAUUGGGUUUAAAGGGAGCGUAGGUGGAUUGUUAAGUCAGUUGUGAAAGUUUGCGGCUCAACCGUAAAAUUGCAGUUGAAACUGGCAGUCUUGAGUAGAGUAGAGGUGGGCGGAAUUCGUGGUGUAGCGGUGAAAUGCUUAGAUAUCACGAAGAACUCCGAUUGCGAAGGCAGUUCACUGGACUGCAACUGACACUGAGGCUCGAAAGUGUGGGUAUCAAACAGGAUUAGAUACCCCAGUAGUC